GGGGUCGACUUGGAUUUGACAGCGAGUCUAAUUGGAUAGUAAGCACGUCGAGCGCUGGGAUAUAGCUCGUAAAUCUCAUAUUUCACACUUUUUUAAACGGCGAGAAUAACUACGCCUUGGCUGCAUAAUCCGAAUUACAGUAGGAUUAUCUUCAUCCCUACAAGGUAGGGAGCCGAGAUGCCUCGUGAAAGCCUUGAUUUACGGCGUUCACACCAGAGGUAUCGAUAAAGUAAAUAUAGGAAUUAUAGGGUCUUGAUGUAAUUCUGAAGCUCAAAUGAGAAUACGUGUAAGGUUGGUGGUUUUCAGCCGGUCUUGCAUCGACAAUUAAGUGAAAAAUAAGCGUGUAGAAAGCUAUGUUAAUUGCUUGUUUGGACGAGGGUUCGAAACCCUCCGACUCCACCA
rnacentral:tmRNA from 1 species